rnacentral:rRNA from 1 species
AGAGACAGCAGCCGCCGCGGUAAUACGAGGGGGGCAAGCGUUAAUCGGAAUUACUGGGCGUAAAGCGUGCGCAGGCGGUUCUAUAAGACAGAUGUGAAAUCCCCGGGCUCAACCUGGGAACUGCAUUUGUGACUGUAGAGCUGGAGUACGGCAGAGGGGGAUGGAAUUCCGCGUGUAGCAGUGAAAUGCGUAGAUAUGCGGAGGAACACCGAUGGCGAAGGCAAUCCCCUGGGCCUGUACUGACGCUCAUGCACGAAAGCGUGGGGAGCAAACAGGAUUAGAUACCCGAGUAGUCCCUGUCUCUUAUAC